GACGAACGCUGGCGGUGUGCUUAACACAUGCAAGUCGAACGGUAAGGCCCUUUCGGGGGUACACGCGUGGCGAACGGGUGAGUAACACGUGAGUAACCUGCCCUCAUCUCUGGGAUAACAGUCGGAAACGGUUGCUAAUACUGGCUAUGAGCUUGCACGGCCUCUUGUGGGUUGGAAAGAUUUUUUUUGGUUGGGGAUGGACUCGCGGCCUAUCAGCUUGUUGGGGAGGUAGUGGCUCACAAAAGCUUCGACGGGUAGCCGGGCUGAGAGGGCGACCGGCCACAUUGGGACUGAGAGACGGCCCAAACUCCUACGGGAGGGAGCAGUGGGGAAUAUUGCACAAUGGACGGAAGUCUGAUGCAGCAACGCCGCGUGCGGGAUGACGGCGUUCGGGGUGUAAACCGCGUUCAAUUGUGACGAAGCGUGUGUGUGACGGUAGCAGUAGAAGAAGCACCGGCUAACUACGUG
rnacentral:rRNA from 1 species